rnacentral:rRNA from 1 species
AUGGUCUGGGCCAAGGAGAGGAAGUUAGGCGAGAUAUGCUCGGAGGUGAUCAUCGACAAGUCCUCGGACAAGACGACGAUGGAGAGCAUAGUGGAGGCGCAGCACAGCAUGAAGAAGGUGCACGAGUACGUGAAGACGGCGAACGUCGUGAUCCUCAGGCUAUGGUCCAUUGUUCUAGCCCGCUCACCGAAGCACACGGAGACGGUGAUCUGGAUGCUGACGGGCCUCGCGGUGGCGCUGGCCGUGGUCCCUUUCAAGUACGUCCUGAUGGGGCUGACGGUGUGCUGCUUCGCGACGAACACGAGGGUGGCGAAGGCGGUGUCGGACCCCCGGGGCGGCCGGCGCUGGAGGGAGUGGUGGGAGUCCAUACCCGCCGUCCCGGUCCAUACGGUGGACAAGGGCGAGCUGCGGACAGGUUGA